ensembl:snRNA U6 U6 spliceosomal RNA
GUGCUCACUUCUGCAGCACAUAUACUAAAAUUGGAACGAUAGAGAGAAGAUUAGCAUGGCCCCUGCGCAAGGAUGACACGCAAAUUUGUGAAGUGUUCCAUAUUUUU